rnacentral:rRNA from 1 species
AGUGAACGCUGGCGGUAGGCCUAACACAUGCAGGUCGAACGGCAGCACAGUAAGAGCUUGCUCUUACGGGUGGCGAGUGGCGGACGGGUGAGGAAUACAUCGGAAUCUACUUUUUCGUGGGGGAUAACGUAGGGAAACUUACGCUAAUACCGCAUACGACCUACGGGUGAAAGCAGGGGAUCUUCGGACCUUGCGCGAUUGAAUGGGCCGAUGUCGGAUUAGCUAGUUGGCGGGGUAAAGGCCCACCAAGGCGACGAUCCGUAGCUGGUCUGAGAGGAUGAUCAGCCACACUGGAACUGAGACACGGUCCAGACUCCUACGGGAGGCAGCAGUGGGGAAUAUUGGACAAUGGGCGCAAGCCUGAUCCAGCCAUACCGCGUGGGUGAAGAAGGCCUUCGGGUUGUAAAGCCCUUUUGUUGGGAAAGAAAGGCAGCAGGUUAAUACCCCGCUGUUCUGACGGUACCCAAAGAAUAAGCACCGGCUAACUUCGUG